CAAUAGCGUAUAUUUAAGUUGUUGCAGUUAAAAAGCUCGUAGUUGGAUUUCGGGUGGGACGCAGCGGUCUCGCAUUGCGUUUGUACUGCUGCAGCCCUCCUUCUUGCCGGGGGCGGCCUCUCGGACUUCACUGUCUGGGGGUCAGAAUCGGCGAUGUUACUUUGAGUAAAUUAGAGUGUUCAAAGCAAGCUUACGCUCUGAAUAUAAUAGCAUGGGAUAACACGACAGGACUCUGGCCUAUCGUGUUGGUCUAUAGGACCAGAGUAAUGAUUAAGAGGGACAGUCGGGGGCAUUCGUAUCCCGUUGUCAGAGGUGAAAUUCUUGGAUUUACGGAAGACGAACAUCUGCGAAAGCAUUUGCCAAGGAUGUUUUCAUUGA
rnacentral:rRNA from 1 species